GUCCCUUCGGGGACAUCCGAUAAAAUUGGAACGAUACACAGAAGAUUAGCAUGGCUCCUGCCCAAGGAUGACACGCAAUUAAAGAUAUGGGUGAAAGACGUUG